CCAUAUUUUGCAGAGUAGGCUCUGAACGAUCCUGAAUUUGGUCGGGACGGCUGAAAUCCACCCCAACAGCAUGAGAUGGCUAAGAGUGCCAAAGCACCUAACCAUAAAAAAAAAAAAAAAAUUGUAUCUUAAUGAUAAAAAGAGGGUAAAAAAUCCAAUACAUGUGAAAAAAAAUACCAAACAUUAACCCCUUCCCAACCC